rnacentral:rRNA from 1 species
UACGGGGGGAGCAAGCGUUGUUCGGAUUUACUGGGCGUAAAGGGCGCGUAGGCGGCGUGACAAGUCACUUGUGAAAUCUCCGGGCUUAACUCGGAACGGUCAACUGAUACUGCGCGGCUAGAGUGCGGAAGGGGCUACUGGAAUUCUCGGUGUAGCGGUGAAAUGCGUAGAUAUCGAGAGGAACACCUGCGGCGAAGGCGGGUAGCUGGGCCGACACUGACGCUGAUGCGCGAAAGCCCAGGGGAGCGAAGCGGG